UACGGAGGGGGCUAGCGUUGUUCGGAAUUACUGGGCGUAAAGCGCACGUAGGCGGCUUUGUAAGUUAGAGGUGAAAGCCCAGGGCUCAACCCUGGAAUUGCCUUUAAGACUGCAUCGCUUGAAUCAUGGAGAGGUGAGUGGAAUUCCGAGUGUAGAGGUGAAAUUCGUAGAUAUUCGGAAGAACACCAGUGGCGAAGGCGACUCACUGGACUGGUAUUGACGCUGAGGUGCGAAAGCGUGGGGAGCAAACAGG
rnacentral:rRNA from 1 species